rnacentral:rRNA from 1 species
AGCCCAGAGCCUGAAUCAGUGUGUGUGUUAGUGGAAGCGUCUGGAAAGGCGCGCGAUACAGGGUGACAGCCCCGUACACAAAAAUGCACAUACUGUGAGCUCGAUGAGUAGGGCGGGACACGUGGUAUCCUGUCUGAAUAUGGGGGGACCAUCCUCCAAGGCUAAAUACUCCUGACUGACCGAUAGUGAACCAGUACCGUGAGGGAAAGGCGAAAAGAACCCCGGCGAGGGGAGUGAAAAAGAACCUGAAACCGUGUACGUACAAGCAGUGGGAGCACGCUUCGGCGUGUGACUGCGUACCUUUUGUAUAAUGGGUCAGCGACUUAUAUUCUGUAGCAAGGUUAACCGAAUAGGGGAGCCGAAGGGAAACCGAGUCUUAACUGGGCGUUAAGUUGCAGGGUAUAGACCCGAAACCCGGUGAUCUAGCCAUGGGCAGGUUGAAGGUUGGGUAACACUAACUGGAGGACCGAACCGACUAAUGUUGAAAAAUUAGCGGAUGACUUGUGGCUGGGGGUGAAAGGCCAAUCAAACCGGGAGAUAGCUGGUUCUCCCCGAAAGCUAUUUAGGUAGCGCCUCGUGAAUUCAUCUCCGGGGGUAG